GUUCAGUUUGUUAUCAAGCAAUAACAGCGGUUUGGUGUAUAUAUAUAGCGUCUUUAAUAAAAGCUGUGACACAUAAAAACCUAUUUUUUACCAUGUAUAGAUCUACAUUAAAAAUAUACUAUUUCCGAACACCGUAUCCGGUACAAGUACGGCACUGAAACUGAACAUCGGAUGGAAACCGAGUUGUUCCGAAUUGAGCGUUUGUUUACAAAUGGAUGACAUACACGCGAAAUUACAUCCACAACAAUUCAAGCAGCGCACUGACAAAUUACUGACAAGAAAGACAAAUUGCAGGUCAGCUUAAAGGCUACGCACUGACUGAAUCAAGGGCAAUCAUGAUAGAUCUAUGCGAUACCAUACUGAUUCCGUAAAGGCGAGCAGGAAGCGCCGCAGAUGAAGUUGUCAUCUGUGUUUAGAAGAAGAAUGUUACAUUGUUUGGACAGUAAAGAUGAACAAAUCUAAUGGAACUUAGCAUUGUGCCCUCACUGCCUAGCUGCUGUGCAAACCAGGAAUAUCUUCAUCCACUUUUGAUGAAGAAUCUGAUAGCGCCAUUAGCGGCUAUUUGUUGAUAUGAGCGGAGGUUCCACAGCCUGAGGCAAAACCUGGUGACCACCAACUCUCAGUCUCUUGCAAAUUAUGAAACGUCUACGUUCCCACAAGGGGUUUGACGUCAACGGAAGAUAGAGAAGAACUUAUCAUGGUGCAGUGCAACCUAGCAGAAUCAGCCUGUCGUGUGAAUGGAUGAAAAAAAAAGACACUGGAGCCUGAAGGGGUGCUUCAAAUGGUCCUGUUACCAGAAUAUUUGAUCACAGUUAAAACAACUGAAUAAGAAUUCAGUAGUAUAUGAACUUUGAAGUCUGAUUGCAUGCUUGACAUAUUUUUUGGGCAAGUGGAAAAAGCUGACAAUUAUGAGCUACAUUUACAGUACAGAGUGUUCUAAAAUCUACAUAGGCCAGGAACAAAGUCUGCAAAGAUUUAAUUGUUACAAUAGUGCAGAGUGAGAUACUGAUAAUUAACUGGAUUAGCAUUCAUGUCAGCAGUCAAUCAAAACUUCGGUGUCAGAAAUGCUUGAUAUCUAUGGAAAUCAGAUGUAUCGUAUCUGGCCUAAUACGAAAUAAAGAGUUAAAUUAUUUUGAUUUUGGGCAAAGACUAAAAACAAUUUUUGUUUCCGGUAACAUGCUAAAAAAUUUAGGGUAGGUAGGACGG
rnacentral:lncRNA from 1 species